rnacentral:rRNA from 1 species
UACGAAGGGGGCUAGCGUUGCUCGGAAUCACUGGGCGUAAAGCGCACGUAGGCGGUCUCUUAAGUCGGUGGUGAAAUCCUGGAGCUCAACUCCAGAACUGCCUUCGAUACUGAGAGUCUCGAGUCCGAGAGAGGUGAGUGGAACUGCGGGUGUAGAGGUGAAAUUCGUAGAUAUUCGCAAGAACACCAGUGGCGAAGGCGGCUCACUGGCUCGGUACUGACGCUGAGGUGCGAAAGCGUGGGGAGCAAACAGG